rnacentral:rRNA from 1 species
CCCUUAGAUGUCCUGGGCCGCACGCGUGCUACACUGACACUUGCAACGAGUACUUUGCUUUACCGAAAGGUAAUGCUAAUCAUCAAUAAGUGUCGUGAUGGGGAUAGAUCUUUGGAAUUAUGGAUCUUGAACGAGGAAUGCCUAGUAAGCGUAGGUCAUUAGCCUACGCUGAUUAAGUCCCUGCCCUUUGUACACACCGCCCGUCGCUCCUACCGAUUUCGAGUGGUCCGGUGAAACUUUUGGACCGUGCGACUUUAUUGUUGUCACGGAAAGUCAGUUAAACCAUNCNACUUAGNGGAAGGAGAANUCGUANCA